CCUACGGGAGGCAGCAGUGGGGAAUAUUGGGCAAUGGGCGCAAGCCUGACCCAGCAACGCCGCGUGAAGGAAGAAGGCUUUCGGGUUGUAAACUUCUUUUCUGGGGGACGAACAAAUGACGGUACCCCAGGAAUAAGCCACGGCUAACUACGUGCCAGCAGCCGCGGUAAUACGUAGGUGGCAAGCGUUAUCCGGAUUUAUUGGGUGUAAAGGGCGUGUAGGCGGGAAUGCAAGUCAGAUGUGAAAACUAUGGGCUCAACCCAUAGCCUGCAUUUGAAACUGUAUUUCUUGAGUGCUGGAGAGGCAAUCGGAAUUCCGUGUGUAGCGGUGAAAUGCGUAGAUAUACGGAGGAACACCAGUGGCGAAGGCGGAUUGCUGGACAGUAACUGACGCUGAGGCGCGAAAGCGUGGGGAGCAAACAGGAUUAGAUACCCCGGU
rnacentral:rRNA from 1 species